rnacentral:rRNA from 1 species
AACGAACGCUGGCGGCAGGCUUAACACAUGCAAGUCGAACGCCCCGCAAGGGGAGUGGCAGAUGGGUGAGUAACGCGUGGGAAUCUACCUAGUUCUACGGAACAACAGUUGGAAACGACUGCUAAUACCGUAUACGCCCUACGGGGGAAAGAUUUAUCGGAAUUAGAUGAGCCCGCGUAAGAUUAGCUAGUUGGUGAGGU